GAAGUUACAGUUAGGGGUUCACUUGUUUGGCUUAUCUUUAUAGCUCUUUGUGUAAAAAUGCAGACAAAGACACAUCUACAUUCUCUGGAUGUGCUGUUUUGCUCCAAGCAUGUGGUUGGUCUAGACUACCGUCCCUAGCGCCCGUCAACCACAAUCUGUUCACAAUCCCGUACACACAAAAAUGGUCGGCACGUGGUAUGAGUUACGACAGAUGUCCUAGACACUAUAUUACCCAGUAUCGCAACCUCUUGGAUCAGCUUCGACCAACAGAUUUCAUUUGGCAUCCAUAUCUAAACUUGGAUCAUGACAAUGAAAUCAACGAACAAGACGCAACCGUUUGGACUGCAUGCACACCGAUCAUAAGAUUCACCAUUAUGGAGAUGCACCAUAGUGAUCGUGUUAAAUUACAAUUCGGUAUGCUUCAACACAUCCCAGACCCCCCGACAAACCUCGUAGCAUGACAUCUACGAAAAGUUAAUGACCAAUGGAACUUUAACCCUUGACAAAGCUUCCCUAGAUCUGAAUGUCGAAAAUGGAAGCACCGACAAGACCAUAUCUUAACUGAUGUUGUGAUGCCAAUCGAAUAAAAACCAAGUCGUAAUUAUAUGGCUUGGUACAGAUCGGUUGGAUUUGAGUUCCUCGUCGAGGAUAUGUACCUAUAUGACCCACGCCGGGUAACUUACAUACAAGAAAGUUCAACAUCUAACCCCCAACGACAUUGUCAGACCGGUUACUCACAACCCCCUAUCCAUCAAAAUUUUCGAUCCACAAAGACACAAACCAGCGACCCUAACAUGCCAAACACCCAAUCACAAUACCAAGAGCAUACCCCGUACCACCAUCAACAAGUAGAUCAUCAUCAAGACACACAACAUCGCUAUGCACCCAACACAUCACCCUACCAUAGCCGCCUUAGUUAAAACACCCAACGACCAUUUAACAUCAACCUUCCCUCAUCCUACUAUAGCCAAGAAGUCCAAACAUCACAAAACCAAAACAUGCAACAACCAUAUGGCUACCAAACACCACAACAAUCAUUUCAACCUUUCCUCGAUGCAUCAUUCACACCAAUGUCGCUCUUCAGUCGUCCUGAUUGCCCUCCAAAAACUCAAACACAGCCUAACUACUCUGGCAUGGGUCACGAACUCAACUAUGGCGGUAUCGGUAGCGCUUCAUUGCAUACACAAGACUACACGAAUUUGUCUGAAUAUCUUAGGCAAUCUCCUGCAGGUGGUGGUGAUGUUCCUGGGCCCUCAGAUACUCAAACUCAUAGGAUGAAUCAUCAACGUGGAUUAGGGCCACACGUUCGGGUAGCUAGGGGAUGUGGAUCGGAGGUCGGUUAGGUCAUCCCUGUCAACGACGUUAGUCUUUUUGUGUAAACACAUAUUAAUAAUAAUAUCAGUUGGUCCGAUUUCGACUUUUA